GUUUUCAACAAAAAAAAUGGGUUCAAACAUAGGCUAAUUUUGAUUCGACAAUCUUGACAAACUAUUCCCACCAUUUGUUCAUAAGGUAUAAAAUUGGGUAAAAAAGCCCUCAGGGCACUUUUUCACUGGCAAAGGACGGGUUCCCUCAAAACUGGCAGAUCAGAGGUCGUGGGUUCGAUUCUUGAGGCUCUUGGAAGGCAAGGCACAUACUGAAAGGCAGGAUUUACCCUGGAAGGCAAGAGUGUCUUGGAAGGCAAGGCGCAACAUGAAUUGGCUCACUAGGCACUUUGGCAGUCCAGUUGAAGAAAUGCUCGGAUCUUGGUCAGUUGGAGGCACAUCCCGCGGUUUAACUGGUCUGUGUGAAGAGGGCCGGAUCACAGACUCAAGGAAUACGCGCCGAAGGCGGACACCUUGAUAAAAAAUAAAAAAUAAAAAAAUAAAAAUUGGGUAAAAAAAACCUGAAAUGAAAUGGUUGGAGAGAGAGGAGAGAAGAGGUUUCAAGAAAUCCGAGUAAAUGUAAAAGAAGUCUUAUUCGACUCUAACCUAUGGAUUCCAUGAAAAUUCUUCUUAUGACACUCGUACUCAAUUUUAAGCAAUUUGGUUCAUUAUGCAUAUACAGUGCCAUCAAAC
rnacentral:lncRNA from 1 species